GGAGCUGACUUGGUCUGACCUGAGG
rnacentral:piRNA from 1 species